UGUGAGAUACAGACAGGGCUAUCGCUGUCACUGUGUGACCCCGGCUGAGAGGAGGAGGAGGGUCUUACGCGGAAAACAAGUAGAAAAUCUGGCAGAGGCGACAGUGAGCAAGCGGCUAGUAAUGGAGAGAUACGAGUGAGUGGUUAAAGGGGAGAAUCGUGCAGUCGCGGGAGCAUGUUGAAAUGGACAGAGCCCAGCAUGCACCAAGUCUCUGUUAGUAAUCUUUCAAAUCUGACGCAAAAGGGGUGGACGCAACCCAAGAGCGGAAACAAAGGCGCUUUGGUUUGAACAAAAUACAUCUGUAAAGAAGGGGGAUAAUUGGUCCCUCAGUAUGAGUCGAGAUGGAUGGAGAAAGAAAGCCAGUGAAGAUGAUGGGUGGGGAGGACGGGCUGCCUCUCUAAACAUGGUUCAUUUAUUAUUUUUGCUGUAAUUUUAACCUCAUAACCAUUGACCACCAGUCGAACAUUCCUCUUCAUGUGAGAGCUGUGACCAGCACCUCUGCUCUGCCGCCACAGUCCGAGGCUUCGAGCAGAGCAAGAUAUUUGAUAGGCUUCAAUCUCCUCGUGUUCCUCAGGCAUUAGCAGAACCACACUGGCAUAAACAACUCCAAGA